rnacentral:rRNA from 1 species
AACGAACGCUGGUAGCGUGGAUUAGGCAUGCAAGUCGAACGGGAUCCAUGAAGUAGCAAUACUUUAUGGUGAGAGUGGCGGAUUGGGGAGGAACACGUGAGCAACCUGCCUUGAGUUGGGGAAAACCAUUGGAAACGAUGGCUAAUACCGGAUGUGGCGCCUGGGGACAUCCCCGGAGCGCUAAAGGGGGCGACCCGCAAGGGGCUCCCGCUCAUUGAAGGGCUCGCGCACCAUCAGCUUGUUGGCGGGUAACGCCCACCAAGGCUUACGGUUAGCUGGUCUGAGAGGAUGACCAGCCCCACUGGGACUGAGAUACUGCCCAGACUCCUACGGGAGGCUGCAGUCGAGGAUCAUUUGCAAUGGGCGAAAGCCUGACAAUGCGACGCUGCGUGGAGGAAUGAAGGCCUUCGGGUUGUAAACUCCUGUCAUAAGGGAACAGGCGAUCCUACCUAAUACGUAGGAAAGUUGAGUGUACUUUAAGAGGAAGGGACGGCUAACUCUGUGCCAGCAGCAGC